rnacentral:rRNA from 1 species
AACGAACGCUGGCGGCAGGCUUAACACAUGCAAGUCGAACGCCCCGCAAGGGGAGUGGCAGACGGGUGAGUAACACGUGGGAACAUGCCCAAAGGUACGGAAUAUUCUCGGGAAACUGAGAGCAAUACCGUAUGUGCCCGAAAGGGGAAAGAUUUAUCGCCUUUGGAUUGGCCCGCGUCGGAUUAGCUAGUUGGUGGGGUAAAAGCCUACCAAGGCGACGAUCCGUAGCUGGUCUGAGAGGACGACCAGCCACACUGGGACUGAGACACGGCCCAGAUUCCUACGGGAGGCAGCAGUGGGGAAUCUUGGACAAUGGGCGCAAGCCUGAUCCAGCCAUGCCGCGUGGAUGAUGAAGGCCCUAGGGUUGUAAAAUCCUUUCGUUGGGGACGAUAAUGACGGUACCCAAAGAAGAAGCUCCGGCUAACUUCGUG